GGGUGGGCAGUCUAUGUUUGUUUUUCUAUGUUUUGGGGUAUUUCUAUGUUUUGGCCUAGUAUGGUUCUCAAUCAGAGGCAGGUGUCAUUAGUUGUCUCUGAUUGAGAAUCAUACUUAGGUAGCCUGGGUUUCACUGUGUGUUUGUGGGUGAUUGUUCCUGUCUCUGUGUUUUGCACCAGAUAGGGCUGUUUUUGGUUUUCCACGUUUAUUGUUUUGUAGUGUUCGUGUUUAUCUUUUUUUAUUAAACAUGAAUCAAUAUAA